CAUAAUUUGACUUGUUUCAAGAAAACCAAACACGUGCCAUUUCCUUGUUGAUAAUAGAGGAUAAAGCUUGACGCACAUGUGAGCGGACACCAUCGAAAUCUGACCGAUCAAAUCACAACUGUCAAGACUUCAUCAAGAAGUCAGUUUGUAUUUGGGAGUGGGCGUGGCAACAGGGUGAUUGACAUUUACAGGUGUAGGUGGACGUGCAGUGGAAUAGUUUGAUUUAAUACUUUAAAGUUUUGCAGUUCUUUAAAGGUCUGUUUAGAUGUGUACCAUGUAGGAGGGGGAUUAUGGGAUGUACCAUCUCUAUGUUUGCUUGUGUAACUGGGGAGAAGAAGUCACCUUAACACCGUCGACUCCAGGAAGUCCAUUCAUGCCAUUUUUGCCAGACUCUCCCUGUAACGUCACAUAAUUCAGUCACAACCUUUUCACAUCAUUAUAAACAACGAUGAACGCUAAAGAAAAAAGACACUUACCACGUCUCCCUUUUCCCCCUUGAGUCCCUGCUCUCCCUGUGCUCCCACAGCUCCCUGAUCACAAACAAAAGCACCAUUCUUACACUUGUUUUUGUUAUAUACUGUAUAAUUAUGUUCUUAAGUGGAACUCACAUCGUCGCCCUUCGCCCCCUCCAAACCCUGACGUCCACGGAUUCCCUCUGCGCCCUGAGAGAGUGGAUUCAAUUAUACGAACAUAUUAAGAAAAUUACCUUUGUCUUACUUCCUGCAGACACAGAUUUUCUUUUUUAUUAAAUACACGUCAGGACUUACAGGAGCUCCAGGUGGUCCAGUUGGACCCGGGACACCAUUGAAACCAGGAGGACCCUGUAAAGAAAGAUAGGUUCCAGUGAGACCAAUGGGCCCUCGUUGACCCUACAAAAAAGCCCGCGGGGACCCAUCGGGCCAACAGCUCCCUGCAGACGACAACAACACAGAGUCCCAUCAACACGGCAGCCUCUUUAUUCCCCGACAAUCAACACACCAUUAAACCCACUUACUAACACUCAUUCACACACACACACAAUAUGACAAACAGUGAAAGGAUGUCUCGUACAGGAACUCCUGGAAGACCAGGCAGGCCUCUCUGUCCGGGAAGACCGAUCUCCCCCUGCUCGCCUUUGCUGCCCUAGGAAACAGACACAAGAAGAGGAAAACAGCUUUAUCAUCUUCCUCUAUCUCUCCGCCUUGUUGCUAAGAGACACAAAAGGCAGUGACAGUGAACGUUUAAUCAAUGGAAAGAAGGUCGGCCGCUGCUGGUGUUUCCAAUAUCUGCAGAAGAGACUGUACAUAGAACACACGGGCCAGAGAGGAAGGCGGAGCUACAGCUGUUUAAACUUUCAUCCUCUUGAAUGUAACACACGUAGUGAACUCUAAUCUCCAGCUUCACAUGAUUGUCUGUCGAGCUGGAUCCAGGAAGCAGCAAAGAGUUCUCCAGGUUCCUCCCACAGUUCCAAAAACAUGCAGAUUUGGGGAUUACUC